rnacentral:rRNA from 1 species
AGCGAACGCUGGCGGCAGGCUUAACACAUGCAAGUCGAGCGGGCAUCCUUGUGGUGUCAGCGGCAGACGGGUGAGUAACGCGUGGGAACGUGCCCUUUGGUUCGGAAUAACUCAGGGAAACUUGAGCUAAUACCGGAUACGCCCUUUUGGGGAAAGGCUUGCUGCCGAAGGAUCGGCCCGCGUCUGAAUAGCUUGUUGGUGAGGUUAUGGCUCACCAAGGCGACGAUCAGUAGCUGGUCUGAGAGGAUGAUCAGCCACACUGGGACUGAGACACGGCCCAGACUCCUACGGGAGGCAGCAGUGGGGAAUAUUGGACAAUGGGGGCAACCCUGAUCCAGCCAUGCCGCGUGAGUGAUGACGGCCUUAGGGUUGUAAAGCUCUUUUCUCCGGGACGAUAAUGACGGUACCGGAGGAAUAAGCCCCGGCUAACUUCGUGCCAGCCGCCGCCGUAACAC